rnacentral:rRNA from 1 species
GAUGAACGCUAGCGGCAGGCUUAAUACAUGCAAGUCGUGGGGCAGCAUGUCCCGCAGCAAUGCGGGAUGAUGGCGACCGGCAAACGGGUGCGGAACACGUACACAACCUUCCUUUUAGUGGAGAAUAGCCCAGGGAAACUUGGAUUAAUACUCCGUAACAUAUAGAAGUGGCAUCACUUUUAUAUUAUAGCAGCAAUGCGCUAGAAGAUGGGUGUGCGGCUGAUUAGAUAGUUGGCGGGGUAACGGCCCACCAAGUCGACGAUCAGUAACUGGUGUGAGAGCACGACCAGUCACACGGGCACUGAGACACGGGCCCGACUCCUACGGGUGGCAG